rnacentral:rRNA from 1 species
GACGAACGCUGGCGGCGUGCUUAACACAUGCAAGUCGAACGCUGAAGCACCAGCUUGCCGGCGUGGAUGAGUGGCGAACGGGUGAGUAAUACGUGAGUAACCUGCCCUUGACUCUGGGAUAAGCCCGGGAAACUGGGGCUAAUACUGGAUGCUACAUGUCACCGCAUGGUGGUGUGUGGAAAGGGUUAACUGUUCUUGGACGGGCUGACGGCCUAUCAGCUUGUUGGUGAGUUAAUGGCUCACCAAGGCGACGACGGGAAGCCGGCCUGAGAGGGUGACCGGCCGCACUGGGACUUAGGCACGGCCCAGGCUCCUACGGGUGGCAGCAGUGGGGAAUCUUGCCCAAUGGGCGCCAGCCUGAUGCAGCGACGCCGCGUGAGGGAUGACGGCCUUCGGGUUGUAAACCUCUUUCAGCAGGGAAGAAGCCACAAGUGACGGUACCUGCAGAAGAAGCGCCGGCUAACUACGUG